CUAAUAUACAUUUUUUUAACGUCUUCUUCUUACCUCCAGCGGCGCAUAACUUUUUCUUCACACUGAUUCUUAGAGGAGACCACUCUAGCGCUACAGGCAGAGAUCAACACUCUAGUUUUCAUGGAAAACAAUGUGAUUAAAGGUUACCGUUUUAGAUUGGAACAAUACCAGAUUCAUGACAAGUACUUUCAGCUGGUUUUAUGGAACAGUGCUUAAGACCAAGAAGCACGAUUAUGGAUUACAAACAGAAGACAGUAGUAGAUGAGAAGAUAUUAUUAUUCUUGCUUUUUGUAGCUUUAUUUGUUGUUUUUAAAUUUUAUGUAAAUACUAUGUUAAAACUAUUUCAAUGUUAAUUGUUUA